AGGACGAACGCUGGCGGCGUGCUUAACACAUGCAAGUCGAGCGGAAAGGCCCUUCGGGGUACUCGAGCGGCGAACGGGUGAGUAACACGUGAGCAACCUGCCCUUGGCUCUGGGAUAGCCUCCGGAAACGGGGAUUAAUACCGGAUAUUCACUUUUUCCUGCAUGGGGGAGGGUGGAAAGUUUUUCGGCCAGGGAGGGGCUCGCGGCCUAUCAGCUUGUUGGCGGGGUAAUGGCCCACCAAGGCGACGACGGGUAGCCGGCCUGAGAGGGCGAUCGGCCACACUGGGACUGAGACACGGCCCAGACUCCUACGGGAGGCAGCAGUGGGGAAUAUUGCACAAUGGGCGGAAGCCUGAUGCAGCGACGCCGCGUGGGGAUGAAGGCCUUCGGGUUGUAAACCCCUUUCACCAGGAGCGAAUCAAGACGGUACCUGGGGAAGAAGCGCCGGCUAACUACGCGCCAGCAGCCGC
rnacentral:rRNA from 1 species